rnacentral:lncRNA from 1 species
UAAGCAAGGUUCGACAUAUGGAUUUGUAAGCAAGAUGGCCAUCUACCCUUGAAGACACAAGGCUCACUCUCCCAUCAGCAGUCCAUUUCUACUCUUGGCAGUGAGAGAUGUGAGCCACAUACCCCACAGGAGGCUGAGCAAAGCAACUGCUGGUUGAGACAGUAGAGACACUCAUUAAGGGUAGGGGCCACACAUUAUCCUGUUUGCGUUCUCUCCACCUGCCAGAUCUCCUGAUACAGGGAAACACUGAGAAGAGAAAUAAUGGAUGUACAAACCAUCUCAAAAUGGAACAGCUUUGUAGGUAUCCAGAAAAUCAAAGAUUUUCAGAAGUAUGUCUCAAUGGGUUCCAGACACACCUACAAGACCACCUCUGGGAAUGCCGGUCUGCACUUAGCAUCAGGCACGAGGGCUAAUCGUAAGGUGACUGCCCUUUGAUGGAAGCUGGUAUGUGUUGCUACUGUUCUAUGCAGAAACAUCCAUUAUGUCACACAGGCAAGUCUUCUAUGGAUGCCCUGGAGUCUGUGUCCACCACUUUAGUUUCUACUCUUCCCUUAUGUUUUCUUUUUUUCCAACUACUAUGAGAAAGGACUUUCUAAAGUACUAAAAUUCAGUUUCUCCUUCGAGUGACACUUGUCAUCUGGAUCCAUCCGAAAGUUGGUGACACACUGCAGCUGCCAACACCCACCUAGCCUACCCGAUCACAAUGCCGGAGCGAAAGCCAAUUAAAGUUUAAAUUGAACAUAGGAAAAGAGAAAGGACUGCUUUACUUGAAAACCCAUUAAAUUCUCAAUGGCCAGAAAACUAAAAAUAUCACCUCCGGAUUGCUCCUAAGAGGAUUUGAACAUAUCUAGAUAGAAGUCAUUACCCACAAGGUGUUCAACUUGAAAGCAGAUCAUCCAGCAACUCUGCGUGAUCGACCAUUUCACAGACACAG